AUAUUUAUAUAUAUAUAUAUGUAGUCAUAUGCAUCUAGCAACCACCAGUUAAAUUAACACCAUAUUUGUUAUAAGCAAUGGCGAGGCCUAUUUUUCUGGUGCUGUUGAUCCUGGCUAUGAUAUUGUCUCCUACAAUACCAUGUGAUGCAGCUAUAGUAACUCGUCGAGCUCUCACAAAAAACCCUAUUAGAUAUUGUCCAGCUUGUGUAUGUUGCGGACCUCCGCCACAAGGUGGUGGUUGUUGCCCAUGUGGAUGCACUGCUGAAACUGAGACUACAAACGGGUCUCCAUAAGACUUGCUCUUGCAGAAUGAUAUGUAGUAAUAAGAGUUCUACACGGCUCAGAUAUAAUAUCACUAAUAAGGGUAUAUUGCUAUUUGAUACUUGAAUAAAUAUACUACAAAGUGUUUGUAAUAUCA